AGACCUCGCAGAUAAUAGUGUUUGGUUUGGUUAGUGAGUCUUUGGGUGGUUCGAGGGGGCGCAGCCACCCCUCACCACACCUAGGUUAUAAUGUUGGGCUUAGUUAUUCAGGUUAGUGAGGUUUCCAUCACAGGUAGUGGUGUAGUGGAUGGAUACAGCCAUGGUACAAUAACGUUAUUGUACCAUGGAUACAGCCGUCAACAACGAAUCAAUCGUUGGACACGCCGCUCGGCAAUAACAAAGCAACGCUCGCCGCUGUCACCAUCAAAAGACGUCCAAUCCUCCAGGAAGUCAACAGAUCACGCAAGAAUGCCACAGAACACCCGACUUCUGAUCUUUCUUAAGCCGUGUCCACACUAUCAAGCAUGCUUGACGGGCAAGCAGUGAUACCAGAUCCCGUUCCAAUACAUAAACAAGGAGGGUGAGUGGCAGGCACGAAGGUGACGUCAGAAGUGAGGAGACUGUGGGCAAACAAGCAGAUAACUGUCUGUGAGUGUCCAGGCCGGGUGCCUGACAUGGCUCCCUCCAGCCGGCUUUCCUGAUGGGUUCCUGCAGCAAAUGCCAUGGGAUUUGUUGUCAGUAGCACUGCAGUAGAGAGGUGAGGCCAGGCAGCAGCAUGAGUGAACAACAGCAGCAGCAGGAGUCUGCCUCAGGUGAGGCAGGCAGCUCUGGCCACAGAGGAGAGAGAAAAUUUUUGUGUCAGCAGUGUGAUAAAAUUUUAGCAUCCAGAGAAGGCCUCAGACUACACACCCUGAGGCACAGAGGUGUUAGAAAUUAUAAGUGUCUGGAAUGUGGAAAGAAAUUUGUCACAAAGUCUGAUCUCAACACACACACCCUGAGGCAUAGUGGUGUUAAGAAUUAUGAGUGUGUGGAAUGUGAAAAGAAAUUCAUCACAAGGUCUGAUCUUGCCAUACACACCCUGACACACAGUGGUGGUAGGAAUCAUGACUGUCUGGAAUGUGGAAAGAAAUUUACCACAAAGUCUAGCCUCACCACACACAGCCUGAUACACAGUGGUAUCAGAAAUCAUGAGUGUCUGGAAUGUGGCAAGAAAUUUACUAAAAAGGGUCACCUCACCAAACACACCCUGAUACACAGUGGUGUGAGAAAUUAUGAGUGUCUUGAAUGUGGAAAGAAAUUCACCACAAAGUAUAAUCUCACCACACACACACUGACACACAGAAGUGUUAAAGAUUAUGAGUGUGAGGAAUGUGGUAAAGAUUUCCUACCAUUGCUAC
rnacentral:misc_RNA from 1 species